rnacentral:ncRNA from 1 species
CAUCGCCGAUCUGGAGAGAGGCCGCCACGCGGCCCACCGAAGGGGCAAGCGGCUGCCGGCGCAUCCCGCCGGGCCGCGCAAACUCUCAGGUAAAAGGACAGCGGGAGCG